rnacentral:rRNA from 1 species
GACGUACGCUGGCGGCGUGCUCAACACAUGCAAGUCGAACGGAAAGGCCCUGCUUUUGUGGGGUGCUCGAGUGGCGAACGGGUGAGUAACACGUGAGUAACCUGCCCUUGACUUUGGGAUAACUUCAGGAAACUGGGGCUAAUACCGGAUAGGAGCUCCUGCUGCAUGGUGGGGGUUGGAAAGUUUCGGCGGUUGGGGAUGGACUCGCGGCUUAUCAGCUUGUUGGUGGGGUAGUGGCUUACCAAGGCUUUGACGGGUAGCCGGCCUGAGAGGGUGACCGGCCACAUUGGGACUGAGAUACGGCCCAGACUCCUACGGGAGGCAGCAGUGGGGAAUAUUGCACAAUGGGCGGAAGCCUGAUGCAGCAACGCCGCGUGCGGGAUGACGGCCUUCGGGUUGUAAACCGCUUUCGCCUGUGACGAAGCGUGAGUGACGGUAAUGGGUAAAGAAGCACCGGCUAACUACGUG